CUACACCCUGGGAGUUGUGGUCCGUUCAGGGCCAGCCUCUGCCCGUCCCGUCCCCGAACGGGCUCUGACUUCUGUCUGCUGCUGAAAUCCCCAUUUGGGCUUCUUGGGACGUGGAGGGAGAAAUGUCUGCUCAUGCGGAGGAGGAGGAAGAGGUCCAGGGCCUCUGGCCGGGCUUGCGUCAUGAGGAGCCCCCACAAUAACGGAGGUUGGCACGCGGGCUGGGUGAGGAGGGCUCAGCCUGCGCGUGGACCAGAGCCAGAUUCCAAAUGAAGCUGAGGACAAGCCAGAUUUAGUGCAGCCUUUCCCUAUCGGAGACAUUGAGACUACAACUUCCAAAAUUCCCAGCCCAGGUGAAAUAAGUGAGUGUUUUCAAAACCCUGUUGGGUCAUUGUGCAUGAAGGAGGCAUCUCUCGAACUGGAAGGGACGCCACAGGACUGUGCAAUGUUUGUGGAAUGGAAGAAACAGCCAAUUAUGUCUUUCAGGACAGUUUGAAGUACAGUAAUAACAGAGGUCAACCCUUCGAGGUAGGCCAUGUCAGGAAACAAGAAAUACUAGAACUCUAUUUUAUUUUAUGGCCAGAAUAACAGAAUCUUGAAAGCCUGACUACACUUUUCCUUCCCUCAAGGUGGGGCAACAUUAAGUUUCUUUCUCAAACUUUGUUUUCCUGGGCUAAGCUCAUGUUUUAUUAACAGUUGUCACAUCAGGGUCUUUGUGCAUCUCAUACUACUGGGGCAGAGAUAAUUUAACUUGGGUAUUUGAGUUCUUUCUUUAAGAAGGUAUAACAGAGCAAUGCAAAAAGCCUUGCAGCUUUUGUGGAUUUUUUUGGAAUGUGGAAUAUCUUGGAAAGUGUGAUUUAUUGUGACUGUACAGGUUCUUUCUGUAGGUAGCAAUAUCAGGGCCUACAUGGGCCUUGCAUCACCAUUAUCCAAAAGGCAGAGGAAGAGGAGAACUUCCAACCAUCAUGUUAAAAUUUCUGAGAGUUCUUCCAACAUAUCUGAUGGAGGCCAGAUUGUGAAGUUCAGCUUUCAUGCUCAAUCUUCUAUGCCACCACCAUUCUGGUUAGUAAAAAAAUUAGGUAUGAUGGAUCCAGGAUUAUCUCCAGGCUGAUGUUCUAAUCAAUGAUGAAUCCACAAACAUCUGACCCCAAAGGCAUACCCCUGGUUUUACAAAAUCCUCACAGUCAAGGUGGCUUCUCAGAUUGAGCUGUUUGUAUUGAGAACAUGUGGAGAUGUUUUUAUCUUUUCUAAUCUCUUUCUUUUGGAAUCUGUCGUUUCACUAUUUUUGGCAUUUAGCUCUCUAGGUCCUCCUUGGUUAUGACAGAAUCUCCCCCUUUACAUCAGCCUGGUGGAUAGCCAUGUCCUGUCAAAGCAGCUGGAUAUCAGAACCAGAGAAUCAUGACAUUCCACAGAGCAUUUAGCAGCAGUGUGACCUGGCUGAUUUCCACCUCAGCUGUCAUGAAGAAGCCCAGAAGACAAGUUAAGACAGCUAACAGAGAUCGGACUGUCUACAUCUAUUGCUGUGCCCUUAAAGUGGGCAAAGAGAAAGAUUAUGCUGAGGAGGACAUCAAAAGAAGACCACUUGUUUUGAACUGUGCUCAUUCAGAACGUCAUGCUAAAGGAAGUGCAUAUGGGAGAAGGAGGAGAGAGAACACUUUGCAACAAAAUAUCCCUAGAUAAAGCUUCCGAUUAAAUACAAAGCAGUCAAGUCAAAAUUAUUGGUGACAAUUACUGUAACUCAAUUAGGUACAAUAGCAAAUGCGCUUCCCUAAAUCAUUUUCUCAGGUCUCCAAGGAGGCACACAAGGAGUAGUAUAUGAGGUUCAUUUAAUCUCUAACGUCGUAAUUAUCACUACUGACUAAAGAAAACUACAACAAAGCAAGGAAAUAAAUUUAACAGUUCAUGUUUUAAUAAACAUUUUAUGGGUAACCCAGUUAGUUUAUAAACACUUAAUUAAUAUCAUUGGCUUUGCAGAAAUUCUUGCCAAGCUUUUGGCUGCAUGAGACUUCAUGACAAAAUGCCAUACUUCCAUCACUUCUACCAUGGGAGGUAGCCGUAGUAUUUCAUUCUUAAACAUUUUCACCUAUUCAUUGAGAUUGAGAUACGUCUCUGUUCUUGCAAUCCUUUUCCCCCUCAGCUGCUGGGAUUGGCUUCCAAGCAUUUAUAUCAGAUUAAUGCACAUUAUUAAAAACCACAAUAUUAACAGCAUGUUUUAUUCACAUAUAUGUUGUUAUUUAAAUUUGUUAUGACUGCUCACUCCAAUAAACUCUAUACAACUGUAUACCUCAGAUUGUAGGGAGAGAGAUGAGAUACUACAGUAAAUUGGGAUCACAACUCCUAGAGUUCCCAGUAAUUUGACCAUGUUGCUGAGGUUUGGGUAAUCAAAGGACACAACUGGAAGGUAUCCAUUGGACAAUAGAUAAAGCUCAUCCUCAUAUCACCCAAACUGCAACACAAGCAUGUCCCAGUAAUUAUUUUCUAUGUGAUAUCUUUGGGACAUUGUUUUCAUUUCAUCCCCAGCUUAUAGCUGAAGGAAUUCAAAAUCACUUUUAGCUGUUAUUGUUUUUAAGCAGCAUUCUUUCUCUUCUUCAGAACGAUUUUUGCCAUGGAUAUGAUCUAACAUGCUUUAUCAUUGAUGCGAUUGCUGAUGCAGUCAGAGGGGAUCUACCCAACUCCUAUUGGCCACAUUAAGCUGCUAUGGAUGUGUCCACUCCCACCUGCUUGUAAGAUAUUGUCCUUCAUAGUCAUUUUGCCUUGAGCUGCAGGAAGGACCAGACAUCUGACUUCUGCAGACACUGAUCUAUGUAAACCCUGACUGGUGUUUUUUCCAAAGUGCUUAUCAGGCCUUUUCAUAUAAAUAUGGGUUUAGUGCUCUUUUGAGCUAGAGCUGCUUGUAAAAAUAACCAACUCUCUUGAAAGAGUGCUUUACAGAAAGUUGGUUUAAACCAGGAGAGGGAGAUGGCUUCCCAAUGUGUGUUUUUGGUUCUGUCACCACUGGGGGCAUUACAGGUUUUCCACUGCUUUUGCCAACAGGGUGUUUCACAUGGCCAUACUUUGUAAAGUUUUUAUUAUUUGGGGGAAACAGCAUUUUGCUUAUGUUCUGUCUUCAUGCCCAUCCAUGGGCUACCUUUAGGUGCUGCUGGCCUACUCACCACCAGUACUAUCAUUCACUUGUAGCACCAGUUGAGGAUGGAACUUAUUUGUUACUGAUGGCUCUCUCUUGCUUUACCACGUGCCAUUCCUCCAUGUCUGUUACUUGUCACCCAGGUUAUUUUAGUACACAGGUUUAAUGCUGUUUCAGAACAGUUGACCGCAUUAAGAGCUGUCCACAUUAAGGACAACCCCAGUCACCAUCCUUUCUGUGGCAGAAUAGGACUUUACAAUUAGGACUCCAAAUUUUAAGCCAGCAUAUGUUUCUGUCAGCUCAAGUACUGACCAAUAGCAUUUUAACACAGACAUCUGGCUAUGCUGAUAUACAAGAUAGAAAAUUAUUUUAUGUCCUAAAUUUCUAUAGUAUUGUUUCCAUAUAAAAAAUGGUGUAUAGCCCAUAAGUAUAAUCAUGCAUGAUAAACGUUAAUGUCCAUACUAUUUUAAGCCUAAAUAGCUGCACAUUAUUCUGCAUUUUAUUUGUAUUUUAUACAUACCCCCACAGUUUUUCUUUGUUCAUAUUGUGAUAGUUAUAUUGUGAUGAAUUAUAAAAAAAAGUCUUCACAACAAAAGUGCGUCUAUUUGGUCAUGUAUAUAUGAAGCUCUAGUCCUACAGAAACAUAGCAAUGUGGACUUGUGCAAGUUUAUCUUUUGGGAUAAACAUGCAGAGCAUGAGAAGUUUUUUGUGCAUAACUGCUCUGCCUGUAGGACAUUCAUAACAAAUAGAGUAACUCUGAAAGCAAAAUAGUAUGUCUCCUUGGCUCUCCAGCCCUCAUUCUUUAUUCCCAGUUGGAUUGAAAAAAGUAAACUCAGAACCUCAUAUGCUACACAGAUUUUAUGCACAAUACAGACAUUUCUUUGCUGGUACCCAGAACAGAAUUUAUGCCCUGGCCUUGCAUACUGUACAAAGGAAGAAAAGCUGAUUAUUCAUUCAUAGCGCGCGCAUAUACACACACACACAGACCCAAAACAUAUUAUGGUAUUUUUCUUUUAUGCAGAAAAGAUAAGAUCUGUGUUAGAAAAGAGUAGGACUCCUACUUAUGUAAACUUUAGUCCCUUCACACAUCUAAAAUACCCUUACUGUCAGUGACCACUGCUCAAACACAGAUGAGUCUACAAAGUGGAAGCUGAUAUACGUAGACCUCCAAGUAGAAUUCCCAGUAGUGUUUCUGCUCCCGUGGAAGCCAAGUGCAGGAAAUUUGGACUUUGGUUAUUGCUUUGUCCCUAAAGCAAAUUCACUUCUGUCUAAUCGUUUUUCUUUUUGGAAGUUAGUACAAAACAUUUCUCAUUUUUUAAUGAAAAGUACAGUAUUUCCAUGCUUGUUGAGGGAGAAAAAAAAAAAUCAUCUGGAGAUUUUCAUAUGAUUGUUAUUGUGCCAUUUGAUGUUAUUCUGGUCGUUCCUGAUUUUCUGAAAUGUGUAAGUAAGCAUAGUAAUCAAUCACUCUGUUAAUCAAAUCAAAUAAGUUAUUAAUUAAUUAUUGAUGGUAGAGAUGCUUGAAUCAAUAUUAAGUUUGCAUUGGGUCCCAGUCUGCUUCCGGGUCCAAUUCAAGGUGUUGGUUAUCACCUUUAAA